rnacentral:lncRNA from 1 species
AAACUUUUGUCCAGUUUCCAUGGCAAUGGCAGCCAUUUUGAAAAUUCCAAGUACUGUUGGUACCUCGGGCCACCACUGCCAACAUUUACUCAAACUUUCAAGACUUUGCCUCUUACAACGAAAGAUUUAAAAUUUGGAUUUUUUUUUACACUUUUGUAGUUUCCAUGGUAACGGCGGCCAUUGUUUACCAUUCCAAUGUCUAAUGCACAACUUCACAUGGCGGUUCACAUUAUGGUAUAGUUCCAUCAACAUGGGUCUGACCAAUUACGAGAAAUAGCGUGGACAAAAUGUGUGGAAGAAUAAAAAUAAAAAGAAAAAAAAGAAACGUAGAAUAACAAUAUGUCACCCCAACUCCGUUGAGGGUGCCAUAAAAAAAAAGAAACGUAGAAUAACAAUAUGUCACCCCAACUCCGUUGAGGGUGCCAUAAUGAUACGCGAAGCGAAUUAAAGGUUUUUUCUUUCAUGAAUUCAACGGAGAAGAUACGUGUAUUGGUUGAUUGAAGGUUUGUGAUCAUGAUUGAUCAAUCAAUCAAUUGAUUGAUUGAUUGAUCGAAUGAUUGACAGUUCGUAAAAAUAGCGAUGGGACGUUUAUUUCGGAUUCUGCACUUGAUUGACAUCAACACUUGAUUGAUUGAUCGAUCUCUAAUCAUGAUUUGAUCAAUGUGAUCAUGAUUUGAUCACUCUGAUCAUGAUUUGAUUGAUUGAUUGAUUGAUUGAUUGAUUGAUUGAUCAAUACGUUGUAUUGCCUAAAAUGACACAUUUUGCAUGGGUUUAUUUAUUGUCUAUACGUUUCAUACUGUUCAGUGACAAAUAUCUCACGCACAAUUUUGCAUGUAGUAUUCAGAAAAAUACUCUAUUUGCUUUUCUUACAUCCGAAAAAAAAGAAUUGCGAAUGAGUUAUUAUAACACUAGAUUUGCUAUUGCAAGCAAUAGCGGACGAUGGCACCCCGUACUGCACAUUGUCACAGUAGCAUCAACAAUUAUGAGUGUACAAAAGUCAAAUGGCAUAUCUAUUAUACAUGUCGGAAUCAGCAUGUCUAAACAACACCCCCCCCCUUUUUUUUUUGCUCUUC